UUAGAGCAAAAAAGAGAGGGGCAUUCGGCUACAAGAAAGAAAAAAAAAAUUGUUGCCCACAAAUCUUUGAUGCAAAAACUAAAUUAUUCUUGAAUUUACACUAAGUUGGAAACCCUCUUCAAGGUGAUACAAAUUUGGAAGCAAAAGAGUACUUUUUUUACAAAGUGAAGAAUUUGGAAAAGAUAUUGGAGAGCCCGAGACCUGAGUCGGGAUUCGUUUGGCGAGUGAUCGAGAUUUGGUAGUGAGCGAUCGAGGUACAAACGUUCAUUUUGGUGAUUCCCCAGUAUAGGAUACAUACUCUGCCACUUGGAUUACUCCUUUUGAUUCGGAGCUCAUACUUUUGGUACAUAUCUUCUGCUACAUAUAUUCUGUAUAUAUAUGACUAUUUGGGUACGGCGGGGCCCUGUCCCGUCAUAUGCUUCUGUUAUGUUUUGUAGAGGCCUGUAGUCAUAUAUGUGGGUCAUGGGUCAUGUUUGUUCGUUUGUGAUUAUGAUUUCGUCUUAGUGUG